GGCUGGUCCAAAGGUAGUGAGUUAUCUCAAUUGAUUGUUCACAGUCAGUUACAGAUCAAACUCCUCGUUCUACUCUUUCCCCCCUUCUCACUACUGCACUUGACUAGUCUUAA
ensembl:misc_RNA Y_RNA Y RNA